GAACCGUGAGAUCAUGACCUGAGCCGAAGUGAGACGCUUAACCGACUGAGCCACCCAGGCGCCCCUAAAGCUUCACGAUCUUAUCACAGUCAAAUAGAACAUGCAAUCCUGGGUUGGAUCGUGAAACAAAAAGAGGAUGUUAAUGAGAAAAUGAGUUGAAUCAAUAGUAAGUAACCAAUGCUGGUUUCUUAGUUGUGCCAAGGGCACCCGGUCGUGAAGGAUAUUAACAGGGGGAAACUGGGCGAGGGGUACGUGGGAGCUGCGUGCACCAUCGUUGCAACUUUUCUAGUCCAAAAUUGGGUUUAUUUUAAAAAGAAAAUGGUGGUCUUGACUCCUCUAACACUCCUUUACCCAGCUGAGCUAGCUAGAAGGAGAACGGAGAAAAGAGCCUGCAGAGCCUGCAGGAAAAUGUGUGUGGUCGCGGGCAGGCUGCAGCACGUGAGUCGUAGCGUCCUUAUCUAAGCGACCAUACCUGCGGCACGUACUUGUUGAGCAUGCGCAAGGUCUCAGCCUUGCAUGCCGACUUUAUCCAGGCUGACUGCGUUCGUCGGUUUUCCCCCAGCAGCCGUGGAAAAGCAUUCUAAAGAGAAAGGACGGCCGUCAUUAUCUUGCACUGUGUGUCGCUUCGAUGGUGAGGAGCAUUAAAGUGGCGCCCCUGGUUUUGUUUUUUUAACCUGCUUCCUCUUGGUGUCCCUCUGUGGUACUGCGAUGAGCUCCCUUCCCCGGGCUCCGCACAGGCAGGCGGUGGCUUCGGGGAGCCAUGAGCAUUGCAGACCAUAACCUGGCCUUUUGACAAUGGUCCAAUUUCCAUACAAAUACCCCGUGUGACAAGGGCUUGCACAUGCUUGCCUUUGCAUAUAUAUACGUGUGUGUGUGUGUGUGUGUGUGUGUGUGUGUGUGUAUUUUAAUGUUCUGUGUAGUAUUAAGUAUUUUUGAAUGCGAGCGUAAAGUUUAUUAGGAAGUUGUAAAAUGUGUGAGACACAGAUUUGGUCAGGCAUAGAUGUGGAGAGACAGUACUAUAUUUUUAUUCUACCUCCCCUAAAAAUAACCCACCAAGCACUCUUUGUAUUUGUUUAAAACCACAAACACACACAGAAGCAGUGUUUAAAAUUUUAUAUUAGUCUAGCCAGAGACGUGGAGCAGCACCCCCCCCCCCGAGUUCCUCCCUCGUAGUUUAUGCAACGCGUCUGAAGCAGGAGAAGCGGACGCAUUUGUAGGGAUGGGGGUUUUACCUCAACUGCUGAUCGGCGCGUCGUAUGUGGACAGAGCCCUUUGUGACGCUCCUUGUCAUCCGUACCUUCAACUGUUGUUACCUAAAUGGACUUGACCUCUGAUACUGACCUGUACUCAAUUAACGAGCUGUAAUUUGGGGAUAGGUGAUGGUACCCUCUGAUUACAGGGAGUGAAGAGUCCUUUUCCUGUUACAGGGACAGGUAAGGGUUUGCGGGUUAAAGAGUCCUCUGGCUUCCCGACUAAAACAUUGUCUGUUUGCUGUCAGUGUAAGGAAGAUACUGGAAAAUAGUAUAGAAUUAAGCUCAAUCUUUUAUCAGGGAAGCUUUUAACUAAUCAUCAUCACAUGGAAAGGGUUUGGGGUUUUGUUUAAAAAGUCCUGUGUUUGCGUUAGACGCUGGUGGGGAGGAUGGGGACACAUAGUGUGGCCUCGCUCACGAAGGGGCAGGACGGUACCUUGCUUAUUUUUCUGUGAGUCUCGGGCCGCGUUGGGGGACGGGACACACCGCACAAUAGAGCAAAGCUGGGGCCACUUUGCUGCGGGUUCUGAGGAUCUGGUGCGAUUUAUUGGAUGCUAUUUGGCAUUUCAGACUCAGAAUGCCAACAGAGAAGAGUUAGGGGGCAACACUUCUAAACUCUCCCUUUUAGUCUCCGCUUUGUCUCAGAAUCCUAUUUGCUGCUUGUCCACCCACUUAGAUUUCGGGCGUCCCCGAUCGACGUUACUGGUAGCAGUCCCCAGAAAGCAACUGACAGUGCCGCGGAAAACGUCCCCUCCUGCCUGGCGUCGGCCCUCUGACACCCACGCAGGCGGACCAGGCAGGGGAGGGCUAGUUAUCCCCACUGUCCGGAAAGGCCGGACCCGAAUCAGGAGCAGAGUGCAUUUUCAGACGACAGUGACACGGUCAAGGAGCAUCCUUGGUCAUCGGUAAGAGGGGCUCUCCCUGGCAGAAAACAGUGCCCGUGGUGACAGGUGCCGCAGCUGUGUGCCGCCGGCCCCGGCCUCCUCGAACGGCGGGAGGCACCCUCUCCCAGCAUUGCUGUGCCACAGAGCGCCAGGACUUCCUUCGCCACGUGGUGGCAGUUACCGCGGAUUGUGUAUUUCCCUGCCCGCAAGCAGCCGCGGCGGCCGCAGAGAGAGGCGUGCUGGGAAGGUGGGACCCCUUCCGGGUCUUGCCCUCGAUGCGACAAAGCAAGGUGGUGGGAGGGGGGCUGCUUCACAGAGCCGCGCGGAGCUCACGCUUGCCUUUUUAUUCCCGGAAGAUAAUGUCAGGAGCUAAGAGAAUAGAAGCACACGCCUGUCAAAUCCUCCUCAGGCCGCGUGCGCGGGACUCCCUGGGUCAAAGACAGGCACACGAGGUCCUGUCGCAAGUCCCCCCACGUGAAUCGAAAUGUGGCCUGCCUUUUGUCUGCAGCGGGGACUGUCAGUAGGCCCUUUCCCUCUUCCUCAUUAGACCCCUUCCCCCGGCGGAGGGCUGGGGACAGCGUGCUGUGGGGCCACGGCUGCCGACAGGCUCCUGUCAUUUCCUGCGGUGCCCCGGAGGCUCUGUGCGCUUCGUCCUAGGGCGAAGAGGCUUUUUAUAGCCGGCCCGUCUCCAGCAGAGCAGACUCGGAGAAUGGGACUUAGGAAUGGGGGGCCGUCUGAAAGGGCAGAAGCACAAAGAGCCAGGAAGGGUUUCAGGCGUGUUCGUAUUUUCCUGACAUUUAAACUCUGCAGGGGCAGCCACCGUUUUCAUCUUUAGCCUCCUCGUUUCAAAACCGUGUGCGUUUUCAUCCCGGCACUUAGGGAGAGUGCGAGCAAAUCUGCGGCUACUUCCUGCGUUAAGUCCCGGCGGGGAGGCGGAGAGGUGGGGGCGCGUGUGCAGCCGAGACGGGCAGGUGGGGACGGGAGAGAUCGUACCACGGGGGCUGGCGCAUCCUUCGCGACGUUUCCAGUCGCAGGGAAGCACAGAAGCCGUAGCCCGCGGAUGCCCAGCUCGGACUCCACAGUCAUCGUUCCAGAGGCUUCAGAGGAAAGCGCGGCCCUCCCCGGGCCGUGCGGUCGCAGAACGAACUGC